rnacentral:rRNA from 1 species
UAUUCUGUGAGCAAGGAAAGCGAGGGGAUCGCAAGACCUUGCGCUGAUUGAGCGGCCGAUAUCAGAUUAGCUAGUUGGUGAGGUAAAGGCUCACCGAGGCGACGAUCUGUAGCGGGUCUGAGAGGAUGAUCCGCCACACUGGAACUGAGACACGGUCCAGACUCCUACGGGGAGGCAGCAGUGGGGAAUUUUGGACAAUGGGCGCAAGCCUGAUCCAGCCAUGCCGCGUGAGUGAAGAAGGCCUUCGGGUUGUAAAGCUCUUUCAGCCGGGAAGAAAACGCAUGGGUUAAUACCCUGUGUGGAUGACGGUACCGGAAUAAGAAGCACCGGCUAACUACGUG